GUAGGAUAAAGUGAAACACUUUUUUAGUUCAUACAUACAUACACAUUUUCAUAGGUUCGUAUGUCAAUGGCUCGGCUGAAGAUGAUUAUGGCUUGUGUUGCCAUAAAUGAUGAAUCUCAAUUGCAAAUUUCCAGAACUAACCACUCUUUAUCAUAAAAUGAUGUUAACUGUUUGUCCUGAUAUGACAUCUUCAUCAUUUUCUGAUGCAGGUGGAGAAACUAGUAUCAGGCCAUAUUGGAGAUGCUAUUUUCCAAAUACUCAAGCAUUAGAAUCUUUGCUGCUAAACGAUCAUGCCGUAGCUAUGAAUCAGUGAACGGUGUUUGACUCAGUAUGAACCCUGAACGGUUGUUCGUGCCCAUAGACCUUCCGAAUUUUCUACCAUCAGCCUCUGGUAUACAUACAGGUAAAAAUUUAUUUAUUUUUGGUUAAACAUGAACAACCUUUCUUUCCCUUGUUCUAUGUUGAAUUUGACUAGCUUUAUGAGUAAAUCAUUUAUAUUUUUGGACUGCAAAAUCCUUUCUUUUUUUUUUCUUGGACUUGCUUCAAACAUGGAACUGUUAAUUAAGAAUUGUUGGGUUUAUUUUAAUUGCUUUGUGACUGUAAUUAGGGUUUAAACCAUGCACUUAUAAUACAGGUUUCAUACUUAGAUUGGAUUGGACUA